ensembl:snoRNA
CCUGACCCUAGAGGCAUUGCAGGUGUGGCUGCUGUGUCACAUGUGUGCCAGGAGGUGACAGAGAGGAGAGACGCUAUGUCUAUGCUCAGUGUUCUGACUUACGAACAUCUGAAUGAUUACUAGUCUAACACU